rnacentral:tRNA from 2 species
CCUUCGAUAGCUCAGUUGGUAGAGCGGGGGACUGUAGAUUUAUAAUUGUGAUCCCUAGAUCGCUGGUUCGAAUCCGGCUCGAAGAA